AGGUCCAAAACUCAACGGAGGUAUAAAGCUGAUGAGUCAUUCAAUGAAGUUAUGGGAAAAAGUUGUUGAAGCCAGACUGAGGUCAGAAGUGGACAUCUGUGAGCAGCAGGAUGGUUUCAUGCCAAGAAAAUGUACUACAGAUGCAAUCUUUGCAU